AUUGGACCAAUCCGUCAAGGAUUAAGCAAACGGAGAUAUGUGGCUUUAUACAUCAGCAGGAACAUAUUAGCUGUGGAUACAGACAUAGAUGAGAUGCUUGGACAUAUUUACUUGUUUUUGAAAGAUCAGCUUCAACUUUCCACUAUGCCUGCUUCAGGCAUUUUGCAUGGAACCCUGAUCGACCAACUGAGUGUUUGUGGCAAAUCGAAAGAAGAAGCUGAUGAGCUUGCUACAAAGAUCUGGCUGGCUCUUCUCGACAAUUUAGAGGACACUAAACAUACUUUCAUCGUGCUGAAAUCAAUCGCACAAGAAUAUGAUGGCUUUCUUCCAUAUCCAUAUUCAAGACCGAUCAAAAUCCAGUGGAAGGUGUUUGAGAAACUGUUUGUGGAUUUCCGCGACUUGCUUGAUCAUUCAGAGUAUUGCGACCUAAUAGGAAUUGCCAAGAAGAAGUUUCAAACAAUACCUUAUUUCUGUUAUCCACUUUAUUCUUCUUCUUCUUGGAAAUGGGUCUCAUGAAAGUAAUGACGAUUCUGGUUCUCUUCGUCUCGGUGUCAUCGACCUUGGCGCAAUCCAACAAUGGCGGUCACAUUUCGAUACUCGUCUCGGAAAUGGGUCUUGACUUUGCGAAAGAUUACCUUAUCAAGAAAGUGAUCACUGUGACGCUUCCGCUUCAGCUACCAGACAUUGAGAAUAAGGUUAAGAUCCCUUUAAUCGGGAAAGUUCGAAUGGGUCUAUCGAAUAUUCAGAUUGAUGCAGUUCAUGUCCAGUCUUCGAAGAUCGAGACGAGAAAAGAUGGAAUUGUUUUGAGUGUUUUAGGUGCUACAGCAAAUUUGAGCAUGGACUGGUCUUAUACUUAUAGAGCUUCCUUCUUUGAGAUUUCUGAUCAUGGAGAUGCUUCUGUCGAGGUUAAAGGAAUGGAUUUGAAAAUCACUGCCACUUUGGUUAAUGAUAAUGGAAGUCUAAAGAUUGUAUCACGAGAAAAUGAUUGUACAGUGGAAAAUAUUGAUAUUCAUAUCAAUGGUGGUGCUUCUUGGCUAUAUCAAGGGGUGGUUGAUGCAUUUCAAAAGAUGAUUAUAUCUACUGUUGAAAAGACUGUCUCUACUAAAAUUGUAGAAAAUAUGAAGAAGCUCGAUUCUUUCUUGCAAUCACUUCCAAAACAGAGAAAGAUUGAUGACGCUGCUGCAGUGAAUCUCACUUUUACAGGCAACCCUGUCUUAGGGAAUUCGUCGGUUGAAGUUGACAUUAAUGGUUUAUUCUUGCCAAAGGGUGAUGAUGUUAAAGUUUCAGGAUCUCGUUCUUCUUCCGUCUUUGGUGGGGUAAAGAGAAUGGUGACAAUUUCAGUAGAAGAAGAAGUUUUCAACUCUGCAACACUUGUCUACUUCAAUGCUCAGGUGAUGCAUUUAGUA